rnacentral:rRNA from 1 species
UACGAAGGGGGCUAGCGUUGCUCGGAAUCACUGGGCGUAAAGCGCACGUAGGCGGAUUGUUAAGUCAGGGGUGAAAUCCUGGAGCUCAACUCCAGAACUGCCUUUGAUACUGGCGAUCUCGAGUCCGGGAGAGGUGAGUGGAACUGCGAGUGUAGAGGUGAAAUUCGUAGAUAUUCGCAAGAACACCAGUGGCGAAGGCGGCUCACUGGCCCGGUACUGACGCUGAGGUGCGAAAGCGUGGGGA